UCCCAAGGUGCCUUUGUUUUUUUCACCUUACUUCCCAGGUAGCUUGCCUUUAUUCAGUAACUGUAGCUAUAGCUCAAACCCUCAGCCACCUUGGGCCUGGAUACUCUAGAAAGCAGCUACUUCGCUAGAAAGCAGCAAGUAGUACCAUGAGGGGCUCUCUGUCCUGGGAUAUGCUGCCUGCACAACAGCUGGUGUGGGCCCCCAUAUACUGACUGGGUCCCAAAGACAGGCCUUUGUCUUCCUGUCUGGGUGUCCUCCAUUGGCAGCUCCCCAGUGAGAAGGCCAUCCUCUUGGCUGUGGUGCCUGGUAUUUCAUCACCACAGGACUGCGUCAGAGACACCUCAGCUGAGACGCCAACCUCAGUGGGAGGACAGGCAGGAUCUAGGCGGGACGUGAGGGAUCUUCCAGUUCCUCCCCCUGCUUUUACCCAAGCUGCUGCUCGCUUCUUAUCGCUGAAGUAAGAAUGUAGAAAGUGGCUCUGGCGUGCCGAGCAGUGGCCAGGGCUUCCACCCCUUCCUGGCUGGGAGACCCAAGUUUGGUCAGAGAGAGAGAGAAAGUGAGAAAGCAAGCCACCAGGUCCGGGACUUGAACCACGGUUGGCCAUCCAGUGCUCUGUCCACGGUGCCUCCUGCAUGUCCUGCUGCCCUGAGCUGUCCCAGGCUAGGUGACAGUGUGUCACGCUGCCACCAUGAACGAGGUGUCUGUCA